UGUCCUCUUCAGAUCUUUUUGCGGUCUGGGCUUGCUGUUAACACACCUCAACCCAGGAAGCCCUUACCCCAAAAAGCAUCUGCAGUCGACC
rfam:Salmo salar isolate Sally breed double haploid chromosome ssa10, whole genome shotgun sequence.